rnacentral:rRNA from 1 species
UACGGAGGGGGCUAGCGUUGUUCGGAAUUACUGGGCGUAAAGCGCGCGUAGGCGGAUCUGCAAGUCGGGGGUGAAAUCCCGAGGCUCAACCUCGGAACUGCCUUCGAUACUGCGGGUCUCGAGUCCGGGAGAGGUGAGUGGAAUUCCUAGUGUAGAGGUGAAAUUCGUAGAUAUUAGGAAGAACACCAGUGGCGGAAGGCGGCUCACUGGCCCGGUAC